rnacentral:rRNA from 1 species
AGAGUUUGAUCAUGGCUCAGGACGAACGCUGGCGGCGUGCUUAACACAUGCAAGUCGAGCGGAAAGGCCCUUCGGGGUACUCGAGCGGCGAACGGGUGAGUAACACGCGAGCAACCUGCCCCUGACUCUGGGAUAAGCCCGGGAAACUGGGUCUAAUACCGGAUAUGACCGCCCCUGGCAUCGGGUGGUGGUGGAAAGUUUUUCGGUUGGGGAUGGGCUCGCGGCCUAUCAGCUUGUUGGUGGGGUAGUGGCCUACCAAGGCGACGACGGGUAGCCGGCCUGAGAGGGCGACCGGCCACACUGGGACUGAGACACGGCCCAGACUCCUACGGGAGGCAGCAGUGGGGAAUAUUGCGCAAUGGGCGGAAGCCUGACGCAGCGACGCCGCGUGGGGGAUGACGGCCUUCGGGUUGUAAACCUCUUUCAGCAGGGACGAAGUUGACGUGUACCUGCAGAAGAAGCGCCGGCUAACUACGUGCCAGCAGCCGCGGUAAUACGUAGGGCGCAAGCGUUGUCCGGAAUUAUUGGGCGUAAAGAGCUCGUAGGUGGCUGGUCGCGUCUGCCGUGAAAGCCCGCAGCUUAACUGCGGGUCUGCGGUGGAUACGGGCCGGCUAGAGGUAGGUAGGGGCAAGUGGAAUUCCUGGUGUAGCGGUGAAAUGCGCAGAUAUCAGGAGGAACACCGGUGGCGAAGGCGGCUUGCUGGGCCUUACCUGACGCUGAGGAGCGAAAGCGUGGGGAGCGAACAGGAUUAGAUACCCUGGUAGUCCACGCUGUAAACGUUGGGCGCUAGGUGUGGGGGUCUUCCACGAUCUCCGUGCCGGAGCUAACGCAUUAAGCGCCCCGCCUGGGGAGUACGGCCGCAAGGCUAAAACUCAAAUGAAUUGACGG